rnacentral:tRNA from 2 species
GGUUCAAUAGUGUAGUGGUUAUCACGUGAGUCUCACACACUCAAGGUCCCCGGUUCGAAACCGGGUUGAACCA